rnacentral:lncRNA from 1 species
CACUUAAACAGGGUGAAUACCGGGACAUACUUAACCUCACCAGAGUCCUCUUACAUGGACCGAAAAGCAAGGUGGAUGUUGAUGCAGUUUUAGAAAGGUAUUUUGUCCAUAAAGAAAUAAUUGAAAUAUUAAAACAAAAUUGAAAUAUUCUUACUUGGAUUUUUUUGUAUGCAAAUGAACAGAUGUUCUGGUGCUGGAAAUAUACGUCAUGACAUAUUGCAUUACAAAAAGAAAUUUGAGAAAUGUGGUACUGGUGAUGACGAGACCCGUUCCACUCUUCUGGAUAUGGGCAUUAAAGCUCUAAGGUUUGUUGUACUUUUGUUGUACGAAAAUCAAAUGGAUAUUUCUAUUUCAUUAAUCAUUAGAAGAGAAAAAUCAAUAACCAAAUGCGUGUCGUUUAAAUAACUCUUAUUUGGACCUUGCAGGCGAUACUUUUUAUUGAUCACCUUCAGGUCUUACCUCUUCUCCGCCAAUCCCUUGGAAAUUGGAUUUGCAUCAUGGAUGAAAGCACGACCUGAGCUACGUCACCUUUGUGAUAAUUUGAGAUUCGACAGAUA